GACGGAUACGGGAUCUGGGGCUGGCGGUUUGGGGGCGGUGAGUUCUGUUGGGCGGGGCUCCGCUUCAACCAUCGAGGAUGUCUCCCCUGGCGUCAACACCCGCCAUCGUCACAGGUGCAUACCUAUCUGCCUGUUGUAUCAGCCUAUCCCAGGUGGAUACCAUGGCGCCCUGACCACGAAGCCCAGAAUGAGCAAGUAAAUUACGUAGUAACAACAGCAAUUCUCACCUCACUACUCACGCGAGUGUUCUGAUUAGAAGAAAUUCAACUGUGAACUUAUGAUUGCCAUGCGCCCUUGUUUGGGUAGGUAAGGCCCAAUGUAUCAGCAAGGACUCCUAUAUUUGGAUAUGUACAUUAGAAGGCUCAACAUUGGAAAGAAUAAAUAUAGGAUUGG